rnacentral:rRNA from 1 species
CCUACGGGAGGCAGCAGUGAGGAAUAUUGGUCAAUGGCCGGAAGGCUGAACCAGCCAAGCCGCGUGAAGGACGAAGGUGCCAAGCAUUGUAAACUUCUUUUGUCAAGGGACAAAAUCAGGCUCGAGAGCCUGACCGAGGGUACUUGAAGAAAAAGCAUCGGCUAACUCCGUGCCAGCAGCCGCGGUAAUACGGAGGAUGCGAGCGUUAUCCGGAUUUAUUGGGUUUAAAGGGUGCGCAGGCGGCGAGUUAAGUCAGCGGUAAAAUUUCGGGGCUCAACCCCGACAAGCCGUUGAAACUGGCUUGCUAGAGUGGGCGAGAAGUAUGCGGAAUGCGUGGUGUAGCGGUGAAAUGCAUAGAUAUCACGCAGAACUCCGAUUGCGAAGGCAGCAUACCGGCGCCCAACUGACGCUCAGGCACGAAAGCGUGGGUAUCGAACAGGAUUAGAUACCCUUGUAGUC